AGACCCGAAACCCGGUGAUCUAGCCAUGGGCAGGUUGAAGGUUGGGUAACACUAACUGGAGGACCGAACCGACUAAUGUUGAAAAAUUAGCGGAUGACCUGUGGCUGGGGGUGAAAGGCCAAUCAAACCGGGAGAUAGCUGGUUCUCCCCGAAAGCUAUUUAGGUAGCGCCUCGUGAAUUCAUCUCCGGGGGUAGAGCACUGUUUCGGCUAGGGGGCCAUCCCGGCUUACCAACCCGAUGCAAACUGCGAAUACCGGAGAAUGUUAUCACGGGAGACACACGGCGGGUGCUAACGUCCGUCGUGAAGAGGGAAACAACCCAGACCGCCAGCUAAGGUCCCAAAGUCAUGGUUAAGUGGGAAACGAUGUGGGAAGGCCCAGACAGCCAGGAUGUUGGCUUAGAAGCAGCCAUCAUUUAAAGAAAGCGUAAUAGCUCACUGGUCGAGUCGGCCUGCGCGGAAGAUGUAACGGGGCUAAACCAUGCACCGAAGCUGCGGCAGCGACACUCAGGUGUUGUUGGGUAGGGGAGCGUUCUGUAAGCCUGUGAAGGUGGCCUGUGAGGGUUGCUGGAGGUAUCAGAAGUGCGAAUGCUGACAUAAGUAACGAUAAAGCGGGUGAAAAGCCCGCUCGCCGGAAGACCAAGGGUUCCUGUCCAACGUUAAUCGGGGCAGGGUGAGUCGACCCCUAAGGCGAGGCCGAAAGGCGUAGUCGAUGGGAAACGGGUUAAUAUUCCCGUACUUGGUGUUACUGCGAAGGGGGGACGGAGAAGGCUAUGUUGGCCGGGCGACGGUUGUCCCGGUUUAAGCGUGUAGGUGUGUGUUCCAGGUAAAUCCGGUUCACUUUAACAC
rnacentral:rRNA from 1 species